rnacentral:lncRNA from 1 species
AGCACAAGAAUGAGCCACGUGUAGCAAUGGCUGAAGCUCCUGCGUGGGAAUACACAAAAGCAAAUAUUUAGGGAAGAGGAGAAAAUCCAGAAGGUGCACUAAAAUGAACAUUCAUGUCCUUGGAGAAGGCCGCUUCUAAACCAAACAGAGACAUGGCAGCAAUGAAUGGAACCUGUGGCUCAUCCCCCAGAGCCUCACUCAGACACCCACAAGCUAUGCCCAGAGAUGGAUGUAAUUUAAAGACGUCUUCUGGUUAAUCUUUUCUAUAAACAGAGGUUCCUUUUCUGAGGUGAGUCAUCACCCCUUAAUAUACCUGUCUUGCAUACUUGCAGUUGCUAACUGAGGCUUCUUUUGGAGAAUCUCCUAGUGUUUCACGGAACAUGCAGACUGAAUCAAUUUUUCCACAGAUAGUGACAGAGAAACACCCAUGCCCCUAAGAAGCCAGGAUAAAGUUGCAAAGAUAAAGAUGAGAGGAUAUCUAGAACCUAGCCUUCAGAGGGUGCCUGUAUGCACACCCUGCUUGGGAAGGCAGGAGCACAGCAUGAUGCCAUUUGAGCUGGCACUACAGACCCAUGGCAAGCUUUUGACCAUGGACUACAAAGGCAGGGUCAUUAUCAGGCACAUAUGGUCCCCUGAACAGAGCAGGCUGAUUUGGGGAGGCUGUGAACCAAUAAGUGAUCUGCUGAGUCCCAGUUCUCACAGAUGCAUGGUGGAUAAAGAAUUUCCUUUUUAAUCAAGUUCGGGAGUAUGGCAGAGAACAUUGCCCACAUACAUCCAAUUCACAAUGCCCUUGUAUAUGCAAGGAUCUGAGGACCCCACCAUUAAACAGAUGCACACCCCACAGAUAGACUCAAUUCCCCAGCCCUGACUCCGUCCACUUUGUAUCAUAGGACACCCAUCAACAUU